rnacentral:rRNA from 1 species
AGAGUUUGAUCCUGGCUCAGAACGAACGCUGGCGGCAUGCCUAACACAUGCAAGUCGAACGAUGCUUUCGGGCAUAGUGGCGCACGGGUGCGUAACGCGUGGGAAUCUGCCCUUAGGUUCGGAAUAACAGUUAGAAAUGACUGCUAAUACCGGAUGAUGACGUUAAGUCCAAAGAUUUAUCGCCUGAGGRUGAGCCCGCGUAGGAUUAGCUAGUUGGUGUGGUAAAGGCGCACCAAGGCGRCGAUCCUUAGCUGGUCCGAGAGGAUGAUCAGCCACACUGGGRCUGAGACACGGCCCAGACUCCUACGGGAGGCAGCAGUGGGGRAUAUUGGRCAAUGGGGGCGACCCUGAUCCAGCCAUGCCGCGUGAGUGAUGACGGCCUUAGGGUUGUAAAGCUCUUUUCUCCGGGACGAUAAUGACCGUACCGGGAGAAUAAGCUCCGGCUAACUCCGUGCCAGCAGCCGCGGUAAUACGGAGGGAGCUAGCGUUGUUCGGAAUUACUGGGCGUAAAGCGCACGUAGGCGGCUUUGUAAGUCAGAGGUGAAAGCCUGGAGCUCAACUCCAGAACUGCCUUUGAGACUGCAUCGCUUGAAUCCGGGAGAGGUGAGUGGAAUUCCGAGUGUAGAGGUGAAAUUCGUAGAUAUUCGGAAGAACACCAGUGGCGAAGGCGGCUCACUGGACCGGUAUUGACGCUGAGGUGCGAAAGCGUGGDGAGCAAACAGGAUUAGAUACCCUGGUAGUCAAUCACU